rnacentral:lncRNA from 1 species
UCUGGCUCAAGAAAUUAGAAUGCCUUUGGGCGAAAAAUGUUUUUGGCCUUUUAUCUAAUUUGUGCUAAAGAAAUUCAAUGUUUUGGGCCUAAAAAAAACAUGAGUUUUAAGAUAUCUUUAUUAUUAAUUAGCGUUUUAACAUUUGAAAAGAAACAAAAAAAAUAAAAAAUAGACGUAAAGUUAUUUUCGGUCACCUAUUCGACUACUUUACAAUAAAAUGCCCCAUAAUCUUAGAAUAGUUUUUAGAAGUAAACGGCCUUUGCGCCGCUGACCCUUUUUCCAACCUAGUUGAGCCAG